rnacentral:rRNA from 1 species
UACGUAGGGGGCUAGCGUUGUCCGGAAUCAUUGGGCGUAAAGAGCUCGUAGGCGGUCUGUCGCGUCUGCUGUGAAAACUCAGGCUCAACCCCGAACUUGCAGUGGGUACGGGCAGACUAGAGUGUGGUAGGGGAGACUGGAAUUCCUGGUGUAGCGGUGAAAUGCGCAGAUAUCAGGAGGAACACCGGUGGCGAAGGCGGCUCACUGGCUCGUUUCUGA